rnacentral:rRNA from 1 species
UUGUUGAGAGAGCAUAGAAUGACGGAUGUUUGUGAACGUGUGAAUGUGUCCCUUUCCUCGCCCCCAAUGCCAUGCCGGCGCAGGAGAGUGACUGUAUCUCGGCGCGAUCGGCAAUAAGGAACAAUGAACUCAGAAGCAGAGGUCCCCUUUCCGUGCGCAGGGAGCCCAACGCGUCAGAGAUUCCUCAGAAUCAAAUGUCUCUCCACAAAGGAUAUCUCGGCUCUCGCAUCGAUGAAGAACAUAGAGAAAUGCGAUACUUGGUGUGAAUCGCAGAAUCUCGUGACACAUUGUGUCUUAGAACACAAGUUGCGCGCGAGGCCUUUUGGCCGAGCGCACGCCUGUUUGGGAGUCAUGGCACCGCCGUCUGUGCUCCAUGCAAUAUUGGUGCCCCGAGCGAGUAAAUUGGCCCCGUGUGCCCUCGCGCUCAGUCGGCGGAAGAGCGGGUAGUCGGCAAUCGUCGGGCACGACGGGUGUUGGUCGCCGCGAGCGGGAACAGAACGUCGCCCCCGUCGAUGUGGGACGCGCCCUCAAAGAGACCCUAUGUGAUUGUGGCGUCGGGUGAAAGUGCCGCGUCCAUCAACU